rnacentral:misc_RNA from 1 species
AAGCGAACAGGCGAGCACGCCACGCGUCACACGUCAAUUCGCCCUCCGCUACAUCCCACUGGCACUUACGCAACCUCGUAAAGACCUCAUUUCGUACUCUUGCGCACCUAAUACUUGCCCUCAUGGCUGAAGGAUGUCUCCGUGCGUAGUACCUCAGCGCCCAGCACACCGCACGCCGUAUGCGGUGUAUGCCCAGGCGGCUCCCUCUCCCCCCUCCUAUACCCUGCCAGCGCCGGAGCCCCACUUCUCGUGGUGACAAGGGUCGAGAGUGCCUACGGCGUGGCAGGGGGGGGGGUCUGUGCGAUGCAUGGCCACACUGAUGUGUCGGCGGUGGGGCCCUGGGUGGCGUUGCGUCGGGGUGGCCCGCGACAGCGAACACGCUUGUGCCGUCCAUGUGGUAGGCAGGGUGUCGGCGUGGCUGGAACGCAUUGCACUCGGCCCCGACUGCCGUUGCUGGUGCGGGGGGAGGGGGCCUGUGUGCCACCCCUACGGGGAUGCACAGCAGGUGGGCGCCGGCGUGACGGGUGCGGGUGUGAGGCGACCUGCAGAGCGCGGCGGUGGUGUGGAGUAUGAGGCGGGGGCCGUGCUCGGAUGGCUGAGCCGGCGCGUUGCUGUAGGGCGUGUGUGUGCAGGGCUGCUUGGCACCACGCGAUGUGCCCGUGACAGGGCCCGGCAUAGCGUGGAGUGCAGCUAAGCUCCGAUGCACCGUGACAGAGAAUGGUCAGCCUGAAGAAGAAAAUCAAUAAUACACACUGCUGUGCACGUUUUCUGGUGCCAUCUUUCCUUCCCGCUUCUCCGUCUUGUGCGCGUCGUCGAAUCGGGUGAGUGGCUCUUUUUCUCUCGUCUACUCUCCUGCUGCCCACUGACCCCUCUGCUUGCAUUCGCGUCUUGUUCGCACCUUCACCCCACCAGCGUCUUGUACACGAGCACUUUGCUUUUCUGCACCCCUCGUCGAAAGGGGCGUGCUUCUGGGACCGUCUUUUGCGCUGAGCGCUGCUUGUGUUCUCCUGUUGCAGACUUCUCGUUUCUGUGAUUCCCCUUCUUUGUUUUCUUUUUCACGUCCUUUUCCGCGCGCUCCACUCGCCGAUUCCUCGUCUCCCUCUACACCACAACACAAAACAACACAAAUUCAUACCCCACACGAGAG